UGUAUUAUACUAGCAGAUAUCUGGUUUCUGUUUAGGAAGACAGUUUUUUGGUCAACAAAGCUUGAAAGAUUAGGAUAUUGUGCUGAUGCUCCUAUUCUUCAGAAGUUUUGGACCCUUUGUGAGAAGCUGCUCAAAAUUUCUGAUGAGACAGAAGAUGAAGAUGUUAAUAAAGAGUAUAUUGAGGAGUGAAAUUAGAGACAAAGUCAUGCUUGCUGCUGCAAAGUUGAUUGAUAGUGAUACAGUCCCAAAGGAUUAUCUUGCUCCUGAGAUAAUUUCUCAUUUUGUGAUGCAUGGUGCUGGCAUUGCAGAGAUUGUGAAGAAUCUGAUCACAGUUCUGAAGAAAAAAGAUUAUAACGUCUCUGUAAUCUUUCUAGAAGCUUUGAAGAGGGCUUACAAUCGACACUAUCCGAAAGUGAUGAUGAAUCCUUGAAAAGUAAGACUUUCCAGGAGUAUAAGAACUUGGCUUCUUGGCUUGCUGGAAUAUUCAUCGGUGCUGCUUGGAACAAGCACAGACCUGUGAUUUUAAAGAUGUUAAGGAAGGCACUGAGUAUGCCUUUCAAGAUGCCCUGAACAGCCGUCUUUUCUGGAAGCUUCUGUACUGCAUUUUGCAUCAAGACUUCCUCCUCCUGACAUCCGAGACAUCCCGAAAGAUAUCGAGAGGAGGACAGAGAAUGUAAAUACAGAAGAGGAUCCAAGUGGGUGGCGCCCCUAUAAUAUAUUUUAUGAUAGUUUACAGGAGAAGUGUGCAAAGAAUGACGGUAUUCAAGAUGAGAAGGAACAUACUACUGCAAGACGGAGGGGUCGUCCUAGGAAGCGGCGAAAUAUCGAGGGUAGGAGACUUUUUGAUGAUCAUAAUUCAAGUGAAGAAGAGGAUUCAAUUAAUACAUCCAACCAAGAAGAUGCGCAGGUUGAGGAAGACGAGGAAGAGGAUAAUGCUCCUUUGAUACAUUCACUUAAGUCUGCUGCCAAGUUGAGGUCAUUACGAGUCUCAAGACAGUAGAACAUGACUCAGAUGGGAUCUUCUGUAGGAGCUACGGAUAAUUUAACUGCUUCAGAUAUGUGAGGUAUGAAAUGCAAUUUAUAGUUUCCAUGCAUGACUCGGGAGAAAGAGAAGAAUUUAGAUUGUGUGUGUUGUUUAAAACAUGUUAAUUCUUAUCUUCAGCCAAAAGACCAAUCUCCCAA